rnacentral:snRNA from 1 species
GGAUGUAAGGGCAAUCUGGCUGCGACAUCUGUUACCCCAUUGAUUGUCAGGUUUGGUUCAUCUGAUCCGGUGGACUAAAUGGUGAUCUCCUUCCUCCUGUGCUGCUCCGUGGAUGUCCCUCCCAAAGCUGCAUGCUCAGUGGAAGAUGACCACUUCUCCACCCGUCUUUGGUCAGGGAUAUGAGUAGCUGCCAAAAACAAGCUCUCAAGGAUAUGGAAUCU